AGAGUUUGAUCCUGGCUCAGGACGAACGCUGGCGGCGCGUCUAAGACAUGCUAGUCGAGCGAAUCCCUUUCGGGAGAUUAGCGGCGAACCGGUGAGUAACACGUACUUAACGUACCCUCGAGUUUGGAAUAGCAGUGCGAAAGCGCUGGUAAUACCAAAUACGUUGGAGAUAUCAUACGAUUUUUUCAAGAAAGCCUUCGGGCGCUCGUGGAUCGGGGUGCGGCCUAUUAGUUAGAUGGUGGGGUAACGGCCUACCAUGGCGAUGAUGGGUAGCUGGUCUGAGAGGAUGGUCAGCCACACUGGGACUGCGAUAAGGCCCAGACUCCUACGGGAGGCAGCAGUUAAGAAUCUUGCACAAUUAGCGAAAGCUAGAUGCAGCGACGCCGCGUGAAGGAUGAAGGCCUUCGGGUCGUAAACUUCUGUUUCGGGGGAAGAUAAUGACGGUACCCCGGCAGAAAGCCCCGGCCAAUUACGUGCCAGCAGCCGCGGUAAUACGUAAGGGGCGAGCGUUGUCCGGAAUCACUGGGCGUAAAGCGCGCGUAGGCGGUUUGGUAAGUCGGAUGUGAAAUACCCGGGCUCAACCCGGGAACUGCGUUCGAA
rnacentral:rRNA from 1 species